UGCGAGUUACUGCUCCUUCCCACUCACUAGUGAGUGCCCUUCCCCGGUCUGUAGAAGACCCUUCCCCCGAUACCUGAAAUCGAGCGCUAUCCCUCUCAAACCCUAACCCUAGUAGUGGGUUUUCUGUCUUCUUUCACUUAUACUAGUCUACGAUUUUGGGAAUCAUUUCCCCCCACUUUGCAGACGCUCCAAAACCCUGGCCCUAAUCUCUCUCUCUCUCUCUCUCUCUCUCUCUCUCUCUCUCUCUCUCUUCUCGAAGAUUCAAAGGAGAAGAAGAACUCUAUCUCCAAGAGCUUUUCCUGAUUUUUGGAGAAAAAAGCAAAUGUCUAUGGCGCUUUGGAGACAACGAAUUCUUUCUGCCCCUCUGAUGAAACCCCGUCUCUCUCUCGCCUUCUCAUCAUCCCCAACUUCCGAUCAAACCCCACCUAAUGAGGCCCUAAUCUCAUCCGUUGUUUCCGUCCUUACUGAACACCGCUCCAAAAGCCGCUGGAGCUACCUCAAAUCCCUCAUCCACCCCAACGUCCUCUCCACUGCUGAGGUUUCCCAGAUUACGCUCCGCGUAAGAAACAAUCCCCAUCUUGCCCUCCGCUUCUUCCUCUGGUCCCAGGAAAAUUCCCUUUUUGUCCCCGAUCUCAUCUCUUAUUCCACCAUGAUUCACAUCCUUGCCCGAUCCCGCCUCAAAACCCGUGCCCAGGACCUGAUCCGGACUGCCAUCCGGAUAUCUGAAUCCGAUGGCGCGGAUCCCUCCAUCUUCAGAACCCUGGUGAAAACAUACCGUUCCUGCGAUUCAGCCCCAUUCGUCUUCGAUCUCCUCAUUCGUGCCUACCUGAAUUCAAACAAGAUAGAUCGGGCGGUUGAGAUUGUUCGCUUGCUCCGAUCACGUGGAAUUCAUCCGAUGACUGGUACCUGCAAUUCCAUCAUCCGAUCAGUGGCUGAGUUGAGAGGAUCGGACACAGGGUUUGCAAUGUAUCAAGAGAUUUUUAGGUCCGAAAAUAAAACUAGCAUUAGGGUUAGUGUUUUGCCAAAUGUGCAGACUUUCAAUACUUUGAUGCUUUCUUUCUAUCGAGAUCAGAAUAUAGAACAGAUGGAUGAGAUUUUGAACGAAAUGGUGAAAUUCGGGUGUGAUCCAAAUGUUUUCACUUACUCCAUUUUGAUGGCAGCCUCUUGUGGUAGAGGGAAGAUUGAAGAAGCGAUCAGAUUAUGGGACAAAAUGCGGAUUAAUGAAAUUAAACCCGAUGUCAUGGCUUACAAUACUCUGCUUAGUGGCUUCUGUGAUAUUGGAAAGAUCAAGAGAGCAGAAGCACUGUUUCGGGAGAUGGGAUUGGACGGUAUCGAGGCGACAUGUGUGAGUUAUGAGUGUCUAAUCAAAGGGUAUUGUAAAAUCGGAGACGUCGAUUCAGCGAUUGUUUUAUAUCGAGAUAUGUGCAGGAGGGGAUUUGGGCCAGAGGCAGCAACUGUAAAUGAGGUGAUUGGAGAAAUGUGUAGGACGAAACGGGUUUCUGAAGGGUUGGAGUUUUUAAGGGACGUGAUGAAGAGGUUUGGGUUUUAUCCAAAUCGGGCAAGUUACAAGUUCCUUAUAGGGGGGCUUUGUGAAGAGGGGAAGAUGGAAGAGGCAUGCAAGGUGCAGGUAGAGAUGGUUGGAAAAGGAUUUGAACUGGAUGCUGAGAUUUAUGGCAGUUUCAUUGAGGGGUAUAGGGAACAAGGCAACAUGGAAAAAGUGGGAAAGUUGACGAAUGAAAUGGUCCAGGGACAGAGAGAAUUCUUCUCCAAAGCACCAUAGAUAUUUGCUUCCUCAAUAGGACAAGAGUUCGAUCUCCAAGAGCUUAUUGUGAUUUAUCUCAUCUUCUUAUGGUCUCUUCUAUAAUAGGAAUGGGAGAAGUCAAGGACAAUGAUGCCUAUGAGGAAGAGCUUCUUGAUUAUGAAGAAGAGGAGGAGAAAGUCCUUGAUUCUGUUGCCACCAAAGGUGCUGGCGAAUCAGUCAAGAAGGGCUAUGUUGGAAUUCACAGCUCAGGAUUCA